AGAUGAUCCUGGCUAUUACAGACCGGUAAGUCUAACAUCAGUACCAGGCAAAUUAGUUGAAACAAUAGUGAAGAAUAAAAUUGUCAGACACUUAGAAGAACAUAAAUUGUUGCGCAAAAGUCAACAGGUUUCUGUAUAGGGAGAUCAUGUUUUACUAAUCACUUAGAGUUCUUUGAGGGGGUCAACAAACAUGUUGCAGGGGGUUGGAUAGAUGACCUCCUGAGGUCCCUUCCAACCCUGAUAUUCUAUGAUUCU